UCAAAAUUUAUGCCAUCAAAAGCAAGUGAGACCACAACAGAUACAUGAGAUGAAGAAAAAAGAAAAGGAUUACAUUAAGUUGCAGGUAUGAUGUUUAUUCACGGAUUACAAUCCUUGAAGAUGUAACUAUAAGUGUGCAGAGGAUAGUUCUGUCAUAAAGGGGCUAUCUUUAAAAGCAAUAGCUGUGAAUAGGUAGUAAACAUACCAUUUCUUGCAGGAGAAGCUAAAUCAAGUAAUGAUGGAAAAAAAGAAAGAAUCUAGAUCGGGUAUGGAAAUUAUGAAUCUAUUACAGGUAAUAGUGCACUCUUAAUCCUAGUAUUACCUCCCUUUAGAUUAUGGACCCCUGUUUACAUGAUCUUUAAUAUGCUGAUAGAAAGACGGGUGGCAGCGUGGAACAUGGAAUGGGAAGAAGGCUGACAAUGGCUUCUAUAAAAAGAUCGUAUGUAAUAUGAUUGACUUGUUUAAAUUUCUGUCAGCCCACUUAAGUUUUUCUGUAACUAUGAGCUGCUAGCGGGUGGAUGCUUAUGAAGUGAAAAACCAAGAACUGGUGGCUGAGAAUGCUUAUUUAAGGGCAUUGCUACGUUCAAUGCAGGUAACUAAAAGCUAGAUGAAUGGAA
rnacentral:lncRNA from 1 species